rnacentral:rRNA from 1 species
AUUGAACGCUGGCGGCAGGCUUAACACAUGCAAGUCGAGCGGGGGAAGGUAGCUUGCUACCGGACCUAGCGGCGGACGGGUGAGUAAUGCUUAGGAAUCUGCCUAUUAGUGGGGGACAACAUCUCGAAAGGGAUGCUAAUACCGCAUACGUCCUACGGGAGAAAGCAGGGGAUCUUCGGACCUUGCGCUAAUAGGUGAGCCUAAGUCGGAUUAGCUAGUUGGUGGGGUAAAGGCCUACCAAGGUGACGAUCUGUAGCGGGUCUGAGAGGAUGAUCCGCCACACUGGGACUGAGACACGGCCCAGACUCCUACGGGAGGCAGCAGUGGGGAAUAUUGGACAAUGGGGGGAACCCUGAUCCAGCCAUGCCGCGUGUGUGAAGAAGGCCUUAUGGUUGUAAAGCACUUUAAGCGAGGAGGAAGCUACUCUAGUUAAUACCUAGGGAUAGUGGACGUUACUCGCAGAAUAAGCACCGGCUAACUCUGUGCCAGCCGCCGCAGUAA